AGAGCACUGGCACUAUAAACCAUAAAUAGUGCCAAGGCUAGGGAGAGCAGGAAUCUGCUGUCGAUCGCGCUUUUCGUAUUGAUACCUCCUUCCAGAGGACAAGAGAUCCGGACACUGCGAAUUGCCCCGUCCGGUGACAGAGAACACGUCCAGGGACUGAAUUCAUUAGUCUUGAAUUCAGAUGGCACCCUCAUGUUCAGAUUCGAGGAUUACAAAACAUAUGGCUCUCAUGGGGUUGAUGUCACAAAUUUGCCAGAAGAUCACAGAUUGAACGUCAUCAUAAGGGAAUAUCUGGACAAAUACAGAGAUAUUCUUCUCGACGCCGCUGACGAUGGCACAACCAACAAUUUUCUUCUCCU